AGGGUGUAAACGCUGCAGACUUGGUGUUGGAAGUCCUUUGGGGGCAUUCAGUGCCGGAGAGAAGUUGUUAAGUCUGCUACUUGGGGAGUACGUCCGCAAGGAUGAAACUUAAAGGAAUUGGCGGGGGAGCACCACAACGGGUGGAGCCUGCGGUUUAAUUGGACUCAACGCCGGAAAUCUCACCGGAUAGGACAGACAUAUGAUAGUCGGGCUGAAGACUCUACUUGAUGAUCUGAGAGGUGGUGCAUGGCGUAGACGUCU
rnacentral:rRNA from 1 species